rnacentral:rRNA from 1 species
AUGGCGAUGGUGCUGGAUGCAUUUGCAUCCUACGUGGGCAACAUGCUCGCGCAGCUAGCAGCAGAUGGUGUGGGGACGAUGCUGGGCGUCUCCUGCGAGAUCGACAAGAUGGGCGACAAGCUCCGGGAUCUCAAAAACUUCUUGGCUGAUGCUGAUAGGAGGAACAUCACCGAUGAGACUGUUCAAGAGUGGGUGGGGCAGCUCAAGCGUGCCAUGUAUGAAGCUACCGACAUCCUCGACCUCUGUCAGCUCAAGGCCAUGGAGCGUGGAUCAUCUACUACUCUAGACGCGGGGUGUUUCAACCCCUUGCUCUUCUGCAUACAGAAUCCAUCCCAUGCUCAUGAGAUCGGCACCCGCAUCAAAAAGCUCAACAUGAGGCUCGACUACAUCAAAGAACAGAGUGCUACUUUCAACUUCGUCAAUCUCGGGUCUUAUGAGGAUCAUAACAACAACGCCCAUGGCUUUCGCCAUGGUAAUCCAAGUCGGGAGACAGUAGGGGACUUUGACCGGUCGGCUAUUGUUGGAGACAAGAUUGAAGAAGACACAAGAGCAUUGGUGGCCCAAAUCAUGCAGGCGGGAAAGGAUGUCAACAAUGGCAUCAUGGUGGUCGCUAUCGUAGGUGUUGGUGGCAUCGGCAAAACCACCCUCGCCCAGAAGGUCUUCAAUGACGAGGCAAUCCAAGGUGAAUUCAGCAAAAAGAUAUGGUUGAGCGUCAACCAAAACUUCAGUGAUGUUGGUCUGCUGAGAAGGGCCAUCAUCGAAGCCGGGGGAGAUGCCCAGCCACCUGAAAGUGCAAAGACCAGCCUUCAUGAAGCCCUCAAGAACACAUUGAUUGACCACAAGACCUUUCUGGUAAUUGAUGAUGUGUGGAACCAUAGAUCAUGGAAUGACGUACUGAAAAUACCCUUAGUCAAUGAUGCUGCUUCAGGCAGCCGAGUCCUUGUCACUACCAGAGAUGAAGGUGUUGCCCAAGGGGUGAAAGCUAUCUGGCCGUACCACCAUGUCGACAUAUUAGUUCCUGAAGAUGCUUGGUCAUUGCUCAAGAAUCAGGUAUGCUCAAGUGAGAUAGAUGAAGACCACAUCUAUACGCUAAAGGAUAUCGGACUGAAAAUUAUACAGAAAUGUGGUUGUUUACCAAUUGCUGUUAAAGUGAUGGGAGGAAUCUUGCGUGAAAAAGGGGGGCUACGUCGUGACUGGCAGCAGGUUUUGCAUGAUUCUAAAUGGUCAACAACUAAAAUGCCCGAUGAUCUCAACAAGAUAGUAUACUUAAGCUAUGAAUAUAUGCCUUCGUACCUGAAGCAGUGCUUUUUAUACUAUUCUUUUCUUCCUAAAAGUAGAAGUUUUCAUAUGGAGCAAGUCGUGGCAAUGUGGAUAAGCGAAGGAUUUAUUCAUGGAAGCUAUAGUGAUUUAGAAGAAUUGGGAAGAAAUUACUACAUGGAGUUGGUAUCUAGGAACCUUAUAGAGCCAGAUAAAUCGUAUGCUAAUAUAUGGUUUUGCAGCAUGCAUGAUGUUGUUCGCUCAUUUGCUCAGUAUAUGACUAAAGAUGAAGCCCUCGUAACUCAAGACAUAGACAAUGAUAUUCUUGGUAAACUCGGUUCACAAAAGUUUCUUCGAUUGUCUAUAGAAACUAACCUGUCAGUAUCAGGUGAACUUGAUUGGAAAUCUCUACAGGCGCAGCAAUCAAUGAGAACAUUGAUAUUAACAAUCGAGAUUAAGAUGAUGCCUGGUGAUUCAUUGGUUACUUUUUCUAGUUUGCGGACUCUACAUAUAGAAUCUGCAGAUGUGGCUCUAUUGCUUGCAUCAUUGCAUCAACUCAAGCACCUGAGGUAUGUAGCACUAGUAAAUGCUGAUAUAUCUGUACUUCCAUGGAACAUUGGCAAGAUGAAACUAUUGCAAUUCCUUGUCCUGGAUAAAUGUAAUAAAUUGGUGAAUCUUCCUGAUAACAUUGUGAAGCUUGGCCAACUGAGGUUACUUUCACUUCCCAAAGCAAGUAUGGUACCAAGACGGUUUAUAAUCUGA